AUGACUUUGAUCUCCGUCCUCAUCUGGACUCUCCUCUGCUGCUGCUUCACAGAGUCCAGAGGCCAGGUCACAGUGACUCAGCCUGGAGCAGUGAGCUCUGCUCUGGGAGGCUCCGUCUCCAUCAGCUGUAGGACCAGUCAGGAUGUUUAUGUUCAGGUUUGGAGCAUCUUCAAAAGCUCAGACUCUUUAGCCUGGUACCAACAGAGAGAUGGAGAAACUCCUAAACUGCUCAUUACCUAUACUAGCUAUCGACAAUCAGGGAUUCCAGAUCGUUUUACAGGCAGUGGAUCAAACUCUGACUUCACUCUGACCAUCAGUGGAGUCCAGACUGAAGAUGCAGCAGUUUACUACUGUCAGAGUUAUCACUAUAUCAACAGUCAGUAUGUGUUCACACAGUGAAAAAGCGUCGUACAAAAACCUCCCUCAGUCA